CAGCGUCACGAGUGGCAAUCAGAUUUAUUGGGUCUAAAGCGUCCGUAGCCGGUUUGAUAAGUCUUUUGUGAAAUUGUCGUGCUUAACAUGACAACGUGCAAGAGAUACUGUCAGACUUGGAACUGGGAGGAGUUAGGGGUAUUCCUUGGGGAGCGGUAAAAUGCUAUAAUCCUCGGAGGACCACCUGUGGCGAAAGCGCCUAACUAGAACAGCUUCGACGGUGAGGGACAAAAGCCAGGGGAGCAAACCGGAUUAGAUACCCGAGUAGUCC
rnacentral:rRNA from 1 species